GAGAUAGAGAGAAAGCACAAGUAGGCAGAGAGGCAGGCAGAGGGCGAGGGUUAUUAUUAGACUCUCUUUUGUGGGUUUGUGCCACUCUAAUGAGCCUUGUCAAAGAUCCAGGGAUUUCAGAGUUGAUGAUAAAUGCCCAUGUGUAUCACAAUCGGUGACCAAAAAUCAGUCAGCAUCCACAGAAUUUGGACAGACGACCUUCAUAUAGAAAGAAAAGAUUAAUAAUAUUGGAGUUGUGUUUCUGUUAGAGAAUUAUAAACUCCCUGACCUGUGUAAAUCACAGCUACCAGAAAGCAGCACAAACAAGGUAAUAAAGAAGCACAGAGAAUUCAGUCUCUCCAUGACUUCCCCAUAGUUCUGAUUUUUCAAAAAUAAUUUUGUGGCGGCGGCCGCUCCGGACGCGAGGGGCGGGUCGUGCGCGGGACAAAGGGAAACGAGGCCCGAGCUGCGGUUGCUUUUUCUGCCCGCGGUGUCUCAGAUUCAUUCUUAAGGAACUGAGAACUUAAUCUUCCAAAAUGUCAAAAAGACCAUCUUAUGCCCCACCUCCCACCCCAGCUCCUGCAACACAAAUGCCCAGCACACCAGGGUUUGUGGGAUACAAUCCAUACAGUCACCUCGCCUACAGCAACUACGGGCUGGGAGGGAACCCGGGCACCAACAGCCGGGUCUCGGGAUUACGAUUCCAAAACCCCAAAGCCACCAGAUACGCCGCUGAUGCCCUACAUGAGGUACAGCAGCAAGGUCUGGGACCAAGUAAAAGCUUCCAACCCUGACCUAAAGUUGUGGGAGAUUGGCAAGAUUAUUGGUGGCAUGUGGCGAGAUCUCACUGACGAAGAAAAACAAGAAUAUUUAAACGAAUACGAAGCAGAAAAGAUAGAGUACAAUGAACCUAUGAAGGCCUAUCAUAAUUCCCCCGCAUACCUUGCUUACAUAAAUGCAAAAAGUCGUGCAGAAGCUGCUUUAGAGGAAGAAAGUCGACAGAGACAGUCUCGCGUGGAGAAAGGAGAACCGUAGAUGAGCAUUCAGCCUGCUGAAGAUCCAGACGAUUAUGAUGAUGGCUUCUCAAUGAAGCAUACAGCCACCGCCCGUUUCCAGGGAAACCACCGCCUCAUCAGUGAAAUCCUUAGUGAGAGUGUGGUGCCAGACGUCCGUUCAGUUGUCACAACAGCUAGAAGGCAGGUCCUCAACGACAGGUCCAGUCCUUAAUGGUUCAUCAGCGAAAACUAGAAGCUGAACUUCAAAUAGAGGAGCGACACCAGGAAAAGAAGAGGAAAUUCCUGGAAAGCACACAUUCAUUUAACAAUGAACUUAAAAGGUUGUGCGGUUUGAAAGUCGAAGUGGACAUGGAAAAAACUGCCGCUGAUAUUGCACAGGCAGAGGAACAGGCUCGAAAACGGCAGGAGGAAAGAGAGAAAGAAGCAGCAGAGCAAGCUGAACGCAGUCAGAGCAGCAUGGUUCCUGAGGAAGAGCAAGCUGCUAGUAAGAGCCAGGAGAAGAAGGACGACGAGAGCAUCCCGAUGGAGACAGAGGAGACACACCUUGAAGAAGCAACGGAAAGCCAACAGAAUGGUGAAGAAGGCACAUCUACUCCUGAGGACAAGGAGAGCGGGCAGGAGGGGGUGGACAGUAUGGCUGAGGAGGGGACCAGUGACAGUAACACUGGCUCAGAGAGCAACAGUGCCACAGUGGAGGAGCCGCCCGCAGACCCCGCGCCGGAAGACGAGAAGAAAGAAUAAAUGUUGCCUUGUUUUAUGUGUUCUAAAUACAUUUUUAAAUGAAAAAAAAAAAGAUAUUUUUUUGAGUUU